AAGAUGUAAAGUGGUAGGGGAGCGUUCUCCGUGCUGUGAAGGCGGCGGGUAACCGAUCUGCUGGAGCGAGGAGAAGUGCGAAUGCCGGUAUGAGUAGCGAUAAUGAAGUGAGAAUCUUCAUCUCCGAAUGUCCAAGGUUUCCGCACCCACGUUCGUCGUGUGCGGGUUAGGCGACCCUUAGGCGAGGCCGUUUGGCGUAGCUGAUGGAUUACCGGUUAAUAUUCCGGUCCUUGGUAUGUUUCGUUACGACUUGGGGAGGGACGGAAUCGGAUAGCGCAAACGCUCCGAUGAACGAGUCGUUGAACCGUCGAGACAGUUCCCGCAGGCAAAUCCACGGGGGCGUUUAUUCGAGACGGGACCACGAGCGCGAGGCGAAAGCCGAGCGCAAGUUGCGUGAUUUCAGUUUCCAAGAAAAGCUUCGCAAGCAGAAACAUGCCAAAUCGUACUGAUAACCGACACAGGUGGACUAGUCGAGUAGACUAAGGAGAGCGAGAGAACAUGGUUUAAGGAAUUCGGCAAAACAACUAGGCGUACCUUUGGAAGAUGCCUUCCUCUCCGCAAGGAGAGGCUCAGCGAAAGAUUUGAGGUCGACUGUUUAACAAAAACACAGGUCUGUGCAAACUCGAAAGAGGAAGUAUACGGGCUGAGGCCUGCCCAGUGCCGGAAGGUUAACUGCGAGAGUGGUAUCGCAAGAUACUGCUUUCAAUUGAAGCCCCGGUGAACGGCAGCAGUAACUAUAAAAACAUUGUAGUUAAAAAAGUUGGCUAUAUGCUGGAAACUCUCGAUAAGUUGUUUGUACUCAUUUGAUUUUUCGCAAGAUGAAUCAAAAAGUGAAAAUCAAACAAAUAGAGACAAUCAGCAGGGAAGUCUUGUUUAUAUGUUUAUAAACAUGAUCCCUCAGAGACUAUACGCCGACCUGUUUCUUAACAAGAAACAGAUGAUAUAGUCCGACCUUUAUGGAGACAUAAAGAUUGCGACAGAAAUGUUCGCAAAGCAUCCAUCAAAAAAGACGGAUGUAUCAACAAAUGUGAACUGUUCUAUGGUUAAGGGUAAAAACCGUUGCCAUAGUAAAAUUGUGCCAUAUGCUGGAAGAGCUGUGCUCCGAGAUGGUACCUCGAGAGCUGAAGAUGUUGAACUAGUUGAUGUUUGGGUAAGAUUCGGGUAUUAUGAAAAUAAUGCCCACAAUCUCAAACACAACUGACAAUGUUACAACUGCAGCAAAUCAGCAGGAAAGACUUGUUUUGUCUGGAUGGAUUGUAGGGUUUGUUGACGGAGAAGGCUAUUUUGGUGUUUCUGUGUGUAGAAAUACAUCAACACGUUAUGGUAAACAAAUAUUACCAGAAUUUGUUGUUACACAGAGCAUUAAAAGUUUGUCAUCUCUCCAACAAAUUCAGAAGUUUUUUAAAUGUGGUCGUAUAUAUGUAAAUCAUCGACAUGAUAAUCAUCAUGAUGAUAUUUAUCGAUAUUGCGUUCGCAAUCUAGAAGAACUUCAUCAGAUAAUUAUUCCUUUUUUUCGAACAUAUGCUUUACAAACUUCAAAACGGAAUGACUUUGAGCUUUUUGAUCAAGUUGUUUCAAGAAUGAUUUGUAAAGUUCACUAUUCAAUUGAAGGAAUGGAUAAUCUCAUAACAUAUAUUCAUCAGUCAAAAACAAGAAUCCUCAACGACUAUACGCACAACACGCGACCAAACGCGUGAAGAUAUAGUCUGAUCUCAUGGGCGACCAUGAGCGUCUGACAGAAAUGAUCAGACAGACUGUUCAGCAAUGAACAAUCGAACAAGAAGUUUAUGAGCGAAGUACCUUGUCACUUAAUUGGUGACGCGCACGAAAGGUGUAACGAGCCUCAAACUGUCUUGAACCAUGACUCGGCGAAAUUGAAAUGGCUGUGAAGAUGCGGCCUACUGGCAGUAGGACAAAAAGACCCCAUGGAGCUUUACUACAGCUUGACACUGAUGUUUUAUGUGGAAUUGUUUAGUAUAGGUGGGAGCUUUGCCACUCGUUGGCAGAGCAACAGUGAAAUACCACUCGUUUUAUAUAGAAUAUCUUACGUACCCUUUCUGCAUACGAAAGGACGGACACUGUCUGGUGGGUAGUUUAACUGGGGAGGUUGCCUGCGAAAGGGUAUCGCAGGCGCACAAAGGUAUCCUUGGUCCGGAUGGAAACCGGACUGGAAGUGCAACGGCAUACGGAUGCUUGACUGUGAGGCAAACAAGCCAAGCAGGUGCGAAAGCAGGUCAUAGUGAUCCUCGUGUACUUUGUGGAAGGUACCGGGCUUAACGGAUAAAAGCUACCCUGGGGAUAACAGAGUCAUCGCGCCUAAGCGUUCCUAGCGACGGCGCGGUUUGCUACCUCGAUGUCGGCUCAUCCCAUCCUGGGGCUGGAGAAAACGCGCAUUUUUAUUUGCGCACCUUCUCUCCUUUUAGAAAUAAAAGGUAAUUAAACAAGCUCAAAACGGAGGAGGCCAUAGUAUUGCAGGUCCCAGAUUUAUCUGGUACUUUGAUAAUAUGGUUGGUUCCGUAGGAAAAGGAUGUUCUUUAGUUGAACGAGCGUAUCUUGCUGGUCUUUUUGAUUCAGAUGGAGCUAUUAUGGCUUCGAUCGAAUCUCAUAAAGAGAAACGAUUCAAAUUUCGUGUUCGCGUAAUCUUAAAAAUUACGCAGAAAAAUCUUGAUGUGUUGCACUGGGCGUAUUCACACACGCACCUUGGACGCAUUCAGAAAAAUAGAACAACGUCAGAUUGG
rnacentral:rRNA from 1 species